UACAGGGGGUGCAAACGUUGCUCGGAAUCAUUGGGCGUAAAGCGCACGUAGGCGGUCUGUUAUGUCGGAUGUGAAAUCCCGAGGCUCAACCUCGGAACUGCGUCUGAAACUACUCGACUAGAGUACUGGAGAGGGUAACGGAAUUCACGGUGUAGCAGUGAAAUGCGUAGAUAUCGUGAGGAACACCAGAGGCGAAGGCGGUUACCUGGACAGUUACUGACGCUCAGGCACGAAAGCAUGGGGAGCAAAAGGG
rnacentral:rRNA from 1 species